CGUUGAAACAUCGGUUUCGAUACGAUCACCGAAGUUAAGCAACGUCGAGCCUGGUCAGUACCUAGAUGGGUGACCGCUUGGGAAUACCAGGUGCUGUAA
rnacentral:rRNA from 1 species